CCCACCGCCCACGGCCGCCCCGCCCCUUCCCGGGACCCGGGGUACCCAAGGCGGGGACGCCCACCUGGCCCGGGCUCCGCCGGCGGGCAGCUUAGCGCGAGACGGUCGAGAUACCUGCGACGGCUGCUUGCCUUCCGUUUUGUUCAAGCGAACCGAGAUAACUUCCUCUGAAACGGCACCCGGCAAGGUAGUCUCUACACCCAACGUGGGGCUGGAUCUCACAAUCCCGAGAUGAAGAGUCACAUGCUCCAUUGGCUGAACCCAGGCAGGCGCCCCUGUUUCCAUACUCUCUUGGCAGUUCCCUUAGUUUAUUUGUUAAUCCUUUUGUCAGUACCACACUAUUUCAAUUACUACAACUGAAGAAUAAGAUUUUUCUUAAUCUAGUA